UCCCAUCUCUCUAUUUUUGCACCAGAGAACGCCUUAGAGAUCAACCAAACAACGCGUUCGUAGUUUUAGAUCCACUUUGCAAGCACAGUCUGUGCAGCCCUUCUAUCUCCCAACCCAGAACCAUCAAUGUUCUGAUUUGCUUCUUCGUGGUCUUCUGGUGCAAUGCGAGGCUGUCUAGAGAUUUGCUUACAUGCUCCUUUCUUGAGGGAGUGUGAGCAUUUCUUUGUUAGUGUAGCUCGGCUGUGCGAGUUUUAGUAGCUCUGUGUGCGGCUUUAAUAUCUUUGAGCUGUUUUUUUCUUUUUUUUUUGCAUCGGUGGUUCUUUUAAGGAGAAGAAACGUCUGUAUUAGGAUUUGACGUGAGUGUUGCAGGAUCAGGAUUUGGGACCUUUUAUUUUUUAUAAUCGGUAGGUAUUUGCAGGCUCCAGCAUGGUUGUUCUAGUGCUUGGCAUGGAGGUUGCAGGGCUUGGUAUUAAAUAAAUAUAGUUGUACCAGGUUACUUGUUGGUUUUUUAUUAACAUUAAACUAAAAUUAAUAAGUGUUUUAUGGUGCAGUUGACAAUGAAAUGAUUUUUUUUUGUUUUUAUACAGUUAUGGUUUUAUUUAUUUCUUUUCUUUGUAUUUUUUUCUUUUAAUGAAUUUUUUUUAUUUAA